rnacentral:rRNA from 1 species
UACGUAGGGCGCGAGCGUUGUCCGGAUUUAUUGGGCGUAAAGCGCGCGUAGGCGGCCUCGUAAGUCCGUUGUGAAAGUCAAAGGCUCAACCUUUGAAAGCCGAUGGAUACUGUGAGGCUAGAGUCCGGAAGAGGCGAGUGGAAUUCCUGGUGUAGCGGUGGAAUGCGCAGAUAUCAUCCGGAACGCCUGUGGUGAAGACGACUCGCUGGGAAUGUGCUGACGCUGAGACACGAAAGCCAGGGAGCAAACGGG